GUUAUUAUUUUUCAGAUCCUCCAAAGAGCGUCUCAGUGUCCGUCAGUGGAUCUGCUGUAAUAGUGUCUGGAGAUUCAGUGACUCUGAGCUGCAGCAGCGACUCAAUCCCUCCUGCACUGAACUUCAGCUGGUUAAAAGAAGAAUCAUCUGUAGGAUCUGGAAGAAUCUUCAGCAUCUCAAACAUCAGCUCUGAUCACAGUGGAGAAUACAAGUGUAGAGCCAGAAAUGAACAUGGAGAGAAAAACUCUGAUCCUGUGAUGCUGAAUGUCAUGUAUCCUCCCAGGAAUGUCUCAGUAUUUAUAAAUGGAUCUGCUGUAAUAGUGUCUGGAGAUUCAGUGACUCUGAGCUGCAGCAGCGACUCAAACCCUCCUGCUGUCAAAUAUAUCUGGUUUAAGGAGAGUCAAAGCUCAGCUGUUGGAUCUGGACAGAGUUUUAGUGCACUAGAUAGUGGCCGAUACUACUGUGAGGCUGAGAAUAAAUAUGGCUCUCAGAGAUCAGAGUCUGUUUCAGUCACUGAAGGUAUUUUCUAGAAACAGACACUCUUUCAGUUUCUUCUGUCUCUGCUGUCAAAUGAUCUUCAUCAGCGUCUUGUUUCAGCGGUUCAGAGAUCUGCUCUGCUCACACUUACUGGGGUUGUGGCGGGAUGUGGAGGAUUGAUCUUCAUCAUCAUCAUCAUUAUUGUGUUCAUAUGGAAGAAGAAGAGGAGAGACGGUGGAGCUGAAGAUACCAGAGAAAUUCAGAAUCCCAUUGGCAGAUCAGCAGAAACAGCUUCAGCCAAUGACAGUGCAGUGUAUUCACUAGUAUCAGCCAAUCAGAGCGAGGAUCUUUACACCAACAUUACAGCAGUGAAACCCAAACGCUCCAGCAGAGCAGAAGCAGGAGAUGUGGAGGAUCUUCAAUACGCCAGUGUUCAUCACUUCAAGAACAAAGACAUGAAGACUGAAGAACAUCAGAAGAUGGAGAUGCAGCGUCCG